UACGUAGGGCGCAAGCGUUAUCCGGAAUUAUUGGGCGUAAAGGGCUCGUAGGCGGUUUGUCGCGUCUGCCGUGAAAGUCCGGGGCUCAACUCCGGAUCUGCGGUGGGUACGGGCAGACUAGAGUGAUGUAGGGGAGACUGGAAUUCCUGGUGUAGCGGUGAAAUGCGCAGAUAUCAGGAGGAACACCGGUGGCGAAGGCGGGUCUCUGGGCCGUAACUGACGCUGAGGAGCGAAAGCGUGGGGAGCGAACAGG
rnacentral:rRNA from 1 species